GACCUGGCUGGGCGGUCCGCUUAACGGCGUGUACUGUCUGGCUGGGCCUUACCUCUUGGUGAGCCGGCGUGCCCUUUAUUGGUGUGCGUCGGGGAACCAGGACUUUUACCUUGAGAAAAUUAGAGUGUUUAUGGCAGGCCGGAGUGCUUGAAUACAUUAGCAUGGAAUAAUGGAAUAGGA
rnacentral:rRNA from 1 species